rnacentral:tRNA from 1 species
GUCGGGAUAGCUCAGCUGGUAGAGCAAUC